UACAGAGGUCUCAAGCGUUGUUCGGAUUCAUUGGGCGUAAAGGGUGCGUAGGCGGCGCGGUAAGUCGGGUGUGAAAUCUUGGAGCUUAACUCCGAAACUGCAUUCGAUACUGCCGUGCUUGAGGACUGGAGAGGAGACUGGAAUUUACGGUGUAGCGGUGAAAUGCGUAGAUAUCGUAAGGAAGACCAGUGGCGAAGGCGGGUCUCUGGACAGUUCCUGACGCUGAGGCACGAAGGUCAGGGGGAGCAAACGGGG
rnacentral:rRNA from 1 species